GAAUUCCCCCUUAGAGUUUGAUCCUGGCUCAGGAUGAACGCUGGCGGCGCGCCUAACACAUGCAAGUCGAACGGUGAUGGGGGAGCAAUCCCCUGAUCAGUGGCGGACGGGUGAGUAACGCGUGAGUAACCUGCCCUUAUGAGCGGAAUAACGUCCGGAAACAGACGCUAAUACCGCAUAACGCAUUGAGUCGGCAUCGGCUUAAUGCCAAAGAUUUAUCGCAUAAGGAUGGACUCGCGUCCCAUUAGAUAGUUGGCGGGGUAACGGCCCACCAAGUCAGCGAUGGGUAGCCGGACUGAGAGGUUGAACGGCCACAUUGGAACUGAGAAACGGUCCAGACUCCUACGGGAGGCAGCAGUGGGGAAUAUUGGGCAAUGGGCGAAAGCCUGACCCAGCGACGCCGCGUGAGCGAUGAAGGUCUUCGGAUUGUAAAGCUCUGUGUACAGGGACGAAGAAAGUGACGGUACCUGUAUAGAAAGCCACGGCUAACUACGUGCCAGCAGCCGCGGUAAUACGGGGGAUGCAAGCGUUGUCUGGAAUCAUUGGGCGUAAAGAGUUCGUAGGUGGUUUAUUAAGUCUGGUGUUAAAUGCAGAUGCUCAACAUCUGUUCGGCACUGGAUACUGGUAGGCUUGAAUGCGGUAGAGGUAAUGGGAAUUCCUGGUGUAGCGGUGAAAUGCGUAGAUAUCAGGAGGAACAUCGGUGGCGAAAGCGCUUUACUGGGCCGUAAUUGACACUGAAGAACGAAAGCCGGGGUAGCAAAUGGGAUUAGAUACCCCAGUAGUCCCGGCCGUAAACGAUGGAUACUAGGUGUUGCGGGUAUCGACCCCUGCAGUGCCGAAGUUAACGCGAUAAGUAUCCCGCCUGGGGAGUACGCACGCAAGUGUGAAACUCAAAGGAAUUGACGGGGACCCGCACAAGCGGUGGAACAUGUGGUUUAAUUCGAAGCAACGCGAAGAACCUUACCAGGGCUUGACAUCUAACAAAUACAGAUGAAAGUUUGUAGUGCCCUUCGGGGAAUGUUAAGACAGGUGGUGCACGGUUGUCGUCAGCUCGUGUCGUGAGAUGUUGGGUUAAGUCCCGCAACGAGCGCGACCCACGUUGUCAGUUGGUAUUGAUGGUAUACUGUUAAUAACCUCUCUGGCGAGACUGCCGGUGACAAACCGGAGGAAGGUGUGGACGACGUCAAAUUAUCAUGCCCCUUAUGUUCUGGGCUACACACGUGCUACAAUGGUGGCCACAAAGAGAAGCGAGCCCGCAAGGGGGAGCGGAUCUCAAAAAAGCCAUCUCAGUUCGGAUUGUGGGCUGCAACCCGCCCACAUGAAGUCGGAGUUGCUAGUAAUCGCGGAUCAGCAUGCCGCGGUGAAUACGUUCCCGGGCCUUGCACUCACCGCCCGUCA
rnacentral:rRNA from 1 species